AACGCACCUUGCGCCCUUUGGGUCUUCCAGAGGGCAUGCCUGUUUGAGUAUCAUGAACACCUCAACUCUCAUGGCUUUGCCAUGAUGAGCUUGGACUUUGGAGGUCUUGCUGGCCUGUGGUCGGCUCCUCUCAAAUAAAUCAGCUUGCCAGUGUUUGGUGGCGUCACAGGUGUGAUAACUAUCUACGCUUGUGGUUUUCCACCAGGCAACCUUCAGCGAUGGAGGUUCGCUGGAGCUCAUAAAUGUCUCUCCUCAGCGAGGACAGCUUCUUGAACGUUUGAUCUCAAAUCAGGUAGGGCUACCCGCUGAACUUAA
rnacentral:misc_RNA from 1 species